AGCCGGAGCAGAAAACAUCAGAACUGUUAUCUGUGACUCUGUUCCAAGAUCCAGCACUGAUUCCUGACGCCGUGGGAAGCCAGCACCGAAGUCUGUCGACAGCCCUCUUAGACGAGGAGAGAGCCCCAGGACGUGCAUUCGGGUCUGGGCCGGUGUUUUUAAUCUGGUCCACGGCGGUGGGAUUCAGUCCGAUGAUCUGAACCACCAGUGAGAAGUCGGAGGGGGAGAAACACUAUUUUGGUAUAUAAAACGGCCACAAAGGUUUAAAGAAAUGUGAUAAAAUAGGUUUAAGUUCGCCAAAAGGAACUGUGUUUUGACUAAAAACAAAAAAGGAAAAGGCUAUGAAUAAGAUAGGAAAUAAAUAUGAAAAAUUAAAAAGGUUAAAUUUACCCUUCAUUCUAAUUUGUGUUGUACAGUUAUUUCAUUUUUAACCUUAAUUUAUAUUCUAUUCCUUCCUAGUUAAAUUUACCCUUUUUAAUUUUUCAUAUUUAUUUCCUAUCUUAUUCAUAGCCUUUUCCUUUUUUGUUUUCUUUAGGUCACGAGCAGUUGUCCAAGCAUU
ensembl:lncRNA